GAUGAACGCUGGCGGCGUGCUUAACACAUGCAAGUCGAACGGAAAGGCCUCUGCUUGCAGGGGUACUCGAGUGGCGAACGGGUGAGUAACACGUGGGUGAUCUGCCCUGCACUUCGGGAUAAGCCUGGGAAACUGGGUCUAAUACCGGAUAGGACAAUGGUUUGGAUGCUGUUGUGGAAAGUUUUUCGGUGUGGGAUGAGCUCGCGGCCUAUCAGCUUGUUGGUGGGGUAAUGGCCUACCAAGGCGUCGACGGGUAGCCGGCCUGAGAGGGUGUACGGCCACAUGGGGACUGAGAUACGGCCCAGACUCCUACGGGAGGCAGCAGUGGGGAAUAUUGCACAAUGGGCGCAAGCCUGAUGCAGCGACGCCGCGUGGGGGAUGACGGCCUUCGGGUUGUAAACUCCUUUCGCUAGGGACGAAGCGUUUUUGUGACGGUACCUGGAGAAGAAGCACCGGCUAACUACGUG
rnacentral:rRNA from 1 species